AUUGAACGCUGGCGGCAGGCCUAACACAUGCAAGUCGAGCGAGCGGCGGACGGGUGAGUAAUGUAUGGGGAUCUGCCCGAUAGAGGGGGAUAACUACUGGAAACGGUGGCUAAUACCGCAUACUAUCGGAUGAACCCAUAUGGGAUUAGCUAGUAGGGGGGGUAAAGGCUCACCUAGGCGACGAUCGCUAGGGGGUCUGAGAGGAUGACCAGCCACACUGGAACUGAUACACGGACCAGACUCCUACGGGAGGCAGCAGUGGGGAAUAUUGCACAAGGGGCGCAAGCCUGAUGCAGCCAUGCCGCGUGUAUGAAGAAGGCCUUAGGGUUGUAAAGUACUUUCAGCGGGGAGGCGUUACCCGCAGAAGAAGCACCGGCUAACUCCGUGCCAGCAGCCGCGGUAAUUC
rnacentral:rRNA from 1 species